GACGAACGCUGGCGGCGUGCUUAACACAUGCAAGUCGAACGGAAAGGCCCUGCUUUUGUGGGGUGCUCGAGUGGCGAACGGGUGAGUAACACGUGAGUAACCUGCCCUUGACUUUGGGAUAACUUCAGGAAACUGGGGCUAAUACCGGAUAGGAGCUCCUGCUGCAUGGUGGGGGUUGGAAAGUUUCGGCGGUUGGGGAUGGACUCGCGGCUUAUCAGCUUGUUGGUGGGGUAGUGGCUUACCAAGGCUUUGACGGGUAGCCGGCCUGAGAGGGUGACCGGCCACAUUGGGACUGAGAUACGGCCCAGACUCCUACGGGAGGCAGCAGUGGGGAAUAUUGCACAAUGGGAGGAAGCCUGAUGCAGCAACGCCGCGUGCGGGAUGACGGCCUGCGGGUUGUAAACCGCUUUCGCCUGUGACGAAGCGUGAGUGACGGUAAUGGGUAAAGAAGCACCGGCUAACUACGUG
rnacentral:rRNA from 1 species